GGCUCGGUGGUGCUCGAUCAAGGAACUCUCGGUUCUCGGCCGACGGCAAGGCCCUAAACAACUGAUGAACUUUCACCAAUGAAAAUCGGAGUCGAUUGGUCACCGCUAGGACUCCCCUAUGCGACUGAAGUAGAAUUUUUUUAAUGGCCCUUCCCUCCUUUCUUCACGAGCGUAGCUGUGCUCUCUGAUCUCCGAUUCUUCAAUCACCACACUCUUGGUGAAUUUCAUUGAUUUCAAGUUGAGGGACUUCCAGUGACCGGCAAAUCAAAUGGCAUGGCUAGGCAAGGGUUCCCAUUGACGAGACUGCCGUGGGAGGCGCACUGGAUUGGAGCUUCUCUCCGAGCGGGAGCCGAAUCCGUAGAUUCUGGUUUUCUCAAGCCCAUGACUUUGCAUUCAGUCCGCACAUUCUGUCGUCGAUUUGAGACUCAACACAUUCACCCAACAUAACUUUUCUAAAUGAAUCGUGCUUCUUUGACCACUCUGCCAAUGCAGAAUUCGAAGUUGGAGGGGACUCAGUGGGAUUUCUAAGGAAAGGAAGAGGACAAUCAUCGUCCUGCCCAGGAACAACAUACCAUGAAGAUACACUGUUUAGGACAUGUUAAGCCUCAGGCUGCUGUUGCCAAGGAAGAACAUGCAUUUGCAGGGGCAUUUAUUGGUGUCUUUGUCAGCCUUUGUCUUCACCUGGUUGAUACAAUUAAAACUGUCAUUCAGUCUUACCGUGCAGAGCAGAAAUCUCAUUGCUAUAUUGUAAAAUUGAUUGUUUCUGAGAGAGGUAUGCUUCAUUGGAUUCGAAAUGAUAUUGACAGUGUCAUUUAGAACCUCUUUCACUCAUAACAACUACGAUUGCCUGUUAUGUAUUAUAUUGCCAAAUUGCCGAUGAAAUUUGUUCCAUAUUGGUCUCAUUUGCCAAGUCUUACUGGGCUAUAUCGAGGUAUCUCAAGCAAAAUUGCAUCUUCAGGUCCAAUUUCUGCGAUUUAUACUGUCACAUAUGAGUCAGUAAAAGGCACUUUACUUUCUCUUUUCCCCAAGGUAGUUUUUUUCCUCAUUUUCCUUUCGAAACUCUCUUUCUCCACUUUUCUGGUGUUAAUCUUUUUGCUACGUUAAAUGUGGGCUAGGUUUUGAAUGCCCCCUUCUAGCCUCAGCAAGGUUUCAAAUGGUCCCAACUAAACGGUGUGUUUUCCAGAUAUAUCAUCCGCUUCUUUGUGCAGGAGUAAUACUCCAUCACGUGUUGUGUUGCAGGUGGUGGUGCAAGAAUUGCUACCUCUUUUGUCUACACUCCUAGGGAGAGCAUAAAGCAGCAGAUGCACGUGUGUUCUCACUAUCAUAACUGCCGGUAUUCUAGUGUAAUACUGUUACCAUAAUCUCCUCAUUUAAUAUAUUAAAGUUAGUCGGUUGGAGGUUGUGAUGGAUUUCGGAUAUGUCUUCCUAUGAUCAGAUUCCUGCAUCUUCUUGAGAUGUUUCUCCGUAGCAGCCUCAUUAAAUAAUCCCCUUGCUACUUCGUCCUUGGUUGUCAAGCAUGUUUUGAGCACGUUUUGUUUGUUUUAGUUCAUUUGCCAUGCCAUUUACUCUUACUUUUUGUUUUGAUGGGGAUGCAUUGGUUGGAAUAAUCAUAAGAGGUGGUAUGCCUUCUUUACAUGCUGGGUGGGGAGCUGUGCUCUGUAGAAAUGGUCAAGGUGGAUAUGAGGAUGCACAAGAUUAUGGAUUUUGUUGUCAUGUGGUGGCGUGUAAUCGUCAUUUUCUUCGGCAAGUGAACACUUAAUCUUGCCAUACACCACUUGCAGUUCUACGUAUAUGAGAAUCUAAAGAUGUAAACACUUUCCUCGCUCCCGCUCAGUGCUCGACUGAACACAUUGCUAUCGCUUGCUUGUGGAGGACUAGCAGGAUCUACUGCAGGUUUAUUCUCAACUCCUUUCAACACGGUGAAGACAAGAUUACAAACUCAGAUUUGGUGGGAUGUCAUUGCAUAUGUAUGUCUAUGUGUUAAUCUAUAAGCAAAGUAAGGGGUGAUGUUGAGUGAAGUUUUCAUCAAUUCCUUGGUUCAGUUUUUUCUUCCUUUUUGUUUUUUUUCCCAGUACAAAACCAAAAGUAGGUGGAGACUGUCCUGUUUGUGCAAAUUCUGAGUCAGCAAAUUGACAGAAUGGAUAGUAUAAAUCACCAGAACUUGAACAUGUGAGUGUGAACACAUGAAACUUUUGGUUUCAUGGAAACGUAGGAGAAGAAAGGCAGUAUGAAGUAAGAACAACUAUACACUGGGGACA